AUUUUUCAGCCUAAGCAACGUCACGAUGGCACAGUUGCUUGGUUAGCGGUGUGCAUGUCUGCUGCUCUCGCAGAUCCAUCCUCUGAGCCACGCACGUAUCAAGCUGCUAUGCGCAUUCCUCAUUGGAGAGAGGCCAUGGAGCAGGAGUAUCAAGCGCUUCUUCGCAAUCAGACAUGGACUCUUGUUCCUCCACAAUCACGGGUAAAUGUCAUUGAUUCCAAAUGGGUUUUCAAAGUGAAGAGGCAUUCUGAUGGGUCCAUUGAGCGCUAUAAGGCUCGUCUGGUUGCUCGUGGGUUUCGACAGCGUUUUGGACUUGACUAUGAAGACACCUUCAGUCCAGUGGUCAAGCCUACUACCAUCAGACUUCUUCUCUCUCUGGCUGUUACUCGAGGUUGGUUUCUUCGUCAGCUUGAUGUUCAAAAUGCUUUUCUUCAUGGUGUCUUGGCGGAGGAGGUUUACAUGCGC
rnacentral:rRNA from 1 species